UUGGAAAGGAGUUUUACUUCGGCGUCCCGGCGAAUCUAGCGCAAGAUAAAAGCACUCAAAUCGAGAUAGACGUUGCCACAAAGAUACCAGGCGAGCUCCAUGUAUUCGCUCCAUAUCACAAUAUAAACGUUACAGUAGCGAUUUAUGAAAAAUAUUCAUAUACCUUGAUGACCCCACAUGAAAUUUUUACCACCGGCAAGCAAAAAAAAUGGGUAUUUACAUCUCAUCUAGUGUUCCUGUUUCGGUCUUUGUAAUGAGUUCCAGUCGGGCAAGCGGAGACACGUUUCUGGCAUUUCCUUUGGACGCUCUUGGAACAGAGUAUGACAUACUCGCGUAUCUUUCAUGGAAAUCCGGAUAUCUUUCAGAGGUGGUCUUCGAUGCUCCUUUUGACGGGACGAUUGUGAACAUGACGGUUGAAAACCAAUCCACCGUUGUGACUCUCGACCGUCUCGACCAAUAUCAGAUGCUUACAACGACACAAACCCUUACAGGGGCGCUUGUUUCAUCGAACAAACCAAUUGCCGUGUUCUCUGCGGCCAGUUGCGACACAGGACCCCCAAUUUAAGACGUCACGUGUUUAAAUGGAGGCACGUCAUUGGGGGACACGUGUCUGUGUGCGAGUCGUUUUGCAGGAGAACGCUGUCAAAUUGAUGCUGACUGUACGUUUGACAACGAAACGGUGUGCAGUUGGACAAACCCGCACUCAUUGGACAAUUUUGAUUGGGUUGUUCACCGUGAAGCCACGCCCACUGACGAUACUGCGCCUAACAAUGACAAUAC